rnacentral:rRNA from 1 species
CGUGUAGGCGGGAAUGCAAGUCAGAUGUGAAAUACCGAGGCUUAACUUCGGGGCUGCAUCUGAAACUGCGUUUCUUGAGUGUCGGAGAGGAAAGUGGAAUUCCCAGUGUAGCGGUGAAAUGCGUAGAUAUUGGGAGGAACACCAGUGGCGAAGGCGACUUUCUGGACGAUAACUGACGCUGAGGCGCGAAAGCGUGGGAGCAAACAGGAUUAGAUACCCUGGUAGUCCACGCCGUAAACGAUGGAUACUAGGUGUGGGAGGUAUCGACCCCUUCCGUGCCGCAGUUAACACAAUAAGUAUCCCACCUGGGGAGUACGGCCGCAAGGUUGAA